rnacentral:tRNA from 1 species
ACUAUUUUGGCAGAUUAGUGCGGUGGAUUUAGAAUCUGAUUAUGUGGUUUAUUCUACAGAUAGUA